AAACAAAAAAAUUGUUACAGUUUGACUAUAAAAUUACAAAUUUUUUGCUUCAUUUUUUUUUCUGUAUUUUUUUUUGGGUCCUUCAUUGUUGAAAGAGAAUAUGUCAGCAUGUGAUUCCAAAGAGCAAAAAAUACAAAAAAAAAAAACACAGAACAGAACAUUUUUAAUAAAAACUCACCGGAAAUUAUGUGCGUAACGAGGAUGCUGAAUGGAGGGGGGGCAAAAAGCGCAGAAGGAAACCCAAUUCCGGCAGCAUAUAACACUCGCUUUGACUACGACUUGAUUGGAAUGUCAGAUAAAGUCAAAUGGAUUUCAGCGUAAAUUAAGUUGCUCGAAAAAUGGAGAACUGCGGCCCCCACCCCCCGUCCUGCGCACAGCUGCCACAGAGGAAGUUUGGCUUGAGAUGGAAAAAAGUUUCCCUGGACUUUAGGGGCGAAUGCUGAGAAUGUGUAUGGUAUGGCAAAUAUAUGUAUGUAACUGCUAGGAAAAUUAAAAAAUGAACAAAUUGUAUGGGUCGGGUACGUAGAAUGUUCAGAGGAAACAUCAGAUAUGCACGGAAUAAGACAACAACCUCAAUAUAUAUUUCCCACAAAAAUCUAUUG